UACGUAGGUGGCAAGCGUUGUCCGGAUUUACUGGGCGUAAAGAGCGCGCAGGCGGUCGUUCAAGUCGCGUGUGAAAGCCCCCGGCUCAACUGGGGAGGGUCACGCGAUACUGAUCGACUCGAAGGCAGGAGAGGGAAGCGGAAUUCCUGGUGUAGCGGUGAAAUGCGUAGAUAUCAGGAGGAACACCAGUGGCGAAGGCGACUUCCUGGCCUGUUCUUGACGCUGAGGCGCGAAAGCUAGGGUAGCAAACGGG
rnacentral:rRNA from 1 species